AGCCUCUCACCACUCUCAGUGGUGCUUGGCAUUGGAAUGGGCUGCCCAGGGAGGUGGUGGAGUUGCUGUCCCUGGAGAUGUUGCAGCCAAGCCUGGCUGGGGCACUGAGUGCCAUGGUCUGGAUGGUUGGGCAGGGCUGGGUGCUAGGUUGGGCUGGCUGAGCUUGGAGCUCUCUUCCAACCUGCCUGAUUCUCUGAGUCUAUGAUCCCUGAGCAACCUGUUCCAGUGUUCCAGCACCCUCAUGGUGCACCACUUAGGUGCCUAACAUCCAACCUAGAUCUGCUCUGCUCGAAUGUCAAACCACUUCUCCUUGUCCUGGCACUGCCAGGCCUGGCUGUUGUCACUGUGCCAUGGCAGUUCCUAAGUGCCUGAACAUGCAAUGAGGCAGUGAAGCUUAAAACUGUUCCUGUGUCCAAGGUGGGCAGUGGUGACCCCCAAACCUCGUGGGGACUGCACUCUCUUUUCACCUGGGAGGCAAGAGCUGACUGCAGCAUCGCUCCAAGGAGACCUGUUGGGCUGUGACUGUGGCCAUGGGGUGGGUCGUGGCAGUACAAGCACCCCCCCAGCAAACACCAAAGCAGCAGCCUGGCAGUCGGAUCUCCUCCUCCUAGAACAGGAUCUCAUCUCAGGAGUCCUCAGCCUGCCUUGGACAAGAUCCUGGCAGAACACAGAAGGAGAGCUCAGCCAGGGGACAAUCUCCAGCUGACCACCAGAGGACCCUUGGAAGGACAGAAAGGAGAGCUCAACCAGGGGACAAUCUCCAGCUGACCACCAGGCACCACCUGAGCACCCUUGCAAGGACAGAAAGGAGAACUCAACCAGGGGACAAUCUCCAGCUGACCACCAGGCACCACCUGAGCACCCUUGCAAGGGCAGAAAGGAGAACUCAACCAGGGGACAAUCUCCAGCUGACCACCAGAGGACCCUUGGAAGGACAGAAAGGAGAACUCAACCAGGGGACAACCUCCAGCUGACCACCAGACACCACCAGAGGACCCUUGGAAGGACAGAAAGGAGAACUCAACCAGGGGACAAUCUCCAGCUGACCACCAGACACCACCAGAGGACCUUUGGAAGGACAGAAAGGAGAACUCAACCAGGGGACAAUCUCCAGCUGACCACCAGGCACCACCAGAGGACUCUUGAAAGACCCUUGGUGAUCAGAAGAGACAGGCAGAAAGGUUGAGCAGUGCUGCAAAGAGGAGAGGUGGGGAUGUAGGAGGUGUCUGGGGCAUGCCAUGGAUGAGUGAGAGGCAACCAGAAUGUAACCAUUGCUGCUGGAGCUUUGGGGGGGUGGAGGGGGCUGGAGCAAUAAAAUCUGCCUGCUUCUUAA